rnacentral:rRNA from 1 species
GAUUUCUGGCUUGGUGCGCCUGGCCCGCCACGGUUACGUGUGUGAGUGCUGGGUCGCGCCUGCCAUCCUUCUAGAGAACGUCUCUACUCUUCAUUGAGCUGGAGGCGCAAUCUAGAUCUUUUACUUUGAAAAAAUUAGAGUGUUUCAAGCAGGCAUGUUUUGCUAUGAAUACAUUAGCAUGGAAUAAUAAUCUAGGACUUUCGGUUCUAUUUUGUUGGUGUUCUGGAGCUGAAGUAAUGAUUGAUAGGGAUAGUUGGGGGUGCUAGUAUUCAAUGGCCAGAGGUGAAAUUCUCGGAUUCCUUGAAGACUAACUUAUGCGAAAGCAUU